ACUCUCUUAGCUCUGUUUGAUCACACAGACCCAGUAGGUGCUUGGAGUAUUUUCAGGGAAAGAGAGGAAGGCUGCCCUAAUGCACCACAGAGUAGGCCAAAAUGGCCUCUCUGUUCCUAAGAGUGCGACAGGU
rnacentral:snoRNA from 1 species